AUAUAUAUAUAUAUAUAUAUAUAUAUAUAUAUAUAAAUCUGUCAUGAUUAAAUGCUUUGAAGAGGUCAAAGUAGUCUGAAGGUCAUGGAUCCACUGAGCCCGUUUGUCGGCAAAGUGUCUCGGAGGGGAAAUGCCCUAAAGCACUGUGUUCCACACCAGUCUGCCUCACGCCAGUCCGCUCCAGAGAACCAUUAUUCCAGAUUUCAGGAGCCUCAAAAGUACAACGCUUAGUAUGCUGACAGACACGCCCGUGUUCCCUCUUAACAUUUGCAAACUAUUGACCAGACAAUGAAGCGCUCAAACCCCACUUGGAUCCAGGGCCUGAAAACAAAUAGGCUUUUUGUGCCAGUGGGAGGAGGGGGUAGAGUGGGCGAACUGUGGUUAGGUACCUGACCCUGCCUAGCACAGUUCUGCUGGCACACAAGCCUCUGGUGCCAUAUGACCAUUAGGUACUUGAAUGUUGUGUAUGUAUUAUUAUUAUUUUUUGUGCUUUCUUUUGCAGCAACAGCUUUGCUUUUCAUGAGGUUUUGUAUAUUUUUUUGUAGUGUGCAUGUAUUGUGUUGGAGUGCAGACGGGUGAUGCAGGAGGGUGAUGCAGGAGGGUGAUGCAGGAGGGUGAUGCAGGCAGGUGAUGCAGGAGGGUGUUGCAGGCGGGUGUUGCAGGAGGGUGAUGCAGGAGGGUGUUGCAGGAGGGUGUUGCAGGCGGGUGAUGCAGGCGGGUGAUGCAGUCGGGUGAUGCAGGAGGGUGAUGCAGGAGGGUGAUGCAGGAGGGUGAUGCAGGCGGGUGAUGCAGGCGGGUGAUGCAGGGGUGAUGUAGGGGUGAUGCGGAAGGGGUACUCCAUAUUCAUGGGGAUGUUUAAGCUAUAGCAGACACUGGGAGGGGGGGGGGGGGGGGGGGGAGCUUUAUUUGAAUGUAAUUCACCUUCAUACACUACUAUGCUGCAUAGACUGAAAAUAGAUGCUUUUUCCCCCCUGUGGUCAUUCAAUGACAACCUUUCCUGGCAUUCAUUUAGUUGUUUGAAAUACACAAUGAGCACCAAAUGUCCUUUGACUGAUUCACUGUUAUUUUGGUUCUCUACUGGAGCAAUUUGAGUUUGAUAGGGUACAAUAAAGUGCCAGUUUAAAUGUGUGUCAUUUAAGGGUAUGUCAAUAAAUAUCUAUGAAGCAUUUAGAAAUUAUAUAAAAAUAGCACAUCUUUACGUAGUCCAUCCAUUUUUAGCUCUGUAUCCUUUUAAAAUGUCAAGAAAAGUAAUGGUGUAUAUUCUCUGCAUGCAAGAGCUACCUGAAGUUUGCAAUCCAUAGUCAUAAGACACAUUAUGCAAUUACUCUCUUUCAAGCCUUUACUGGAACCAUGUUUAGUUCCUAAACUCUCCAGGCUUGUUUCCAUUUACAUUUUAUUCAUUUAACUGACACUUUUAUCCAAAGCCACAUACAAAUGGUGCAUAUAGUAAGUUCAACAGAUAAUCAAGAACCAGAAGUGCACUAUUCUAACAGUAUUUCCGUGUUCAGUGCCAUGGAACUGUCUGGAUUUGGUGAACAAGACGGUGCACACGUUUCUUCUCCGCUAUGACACUGCAGUCAUAACAAUAAACAUCUGAAGUGCAACUUUGUAAAAACACCAUGUAGGUACAGUUUACAAGACUACUACAACAAUAUGUCAAAUACAAUACUUUUUGGGUAACCAUAAUCUAUUUUUAGGUUAACUUAUGGCUUCCAACCUGAAGUGUACUGUCUGGGUCUUUGCUUGUGAACACUUCACUAUAGUAAUAUAAAAACAUAGUAUUUGUAUAUUAUAUCUUACUUGGUUUUCCAUAUUAAACUCGGCAGUGUUCGCACUUUAACCUCAUAGUCAUUGCAUGCCAAGUACAACAUGAUGGAAGCCGAAAUUGGCACAGAAAGUGUAACUGUACAAGGACUUUUGGUGCUCAGUGUAAAUGCCAAAUAUGUAUGGAUACAUAAAAUUUCCCAAUGCAUUUUAUUGUUUUGGGUGUAUAUUUAAGUCCAACUUGUGUUGAUAUGAAGACAUUAAUGAACCUCCUCAUUAUUCCCCAACUGUAACCAUUUGCUUGACUGCAAACGAGAUUUGUGAUAAGAAUGAUUCUGCAAGCUUUGAGGUAGGAGUUUAACCCAAGUGAUUUUAGUGAACUUGUAAAAUAAAUUUCCUUAGGAAUUUGUACGAGUAUUUUACUAUAGUCUAUUAUAGUAACAGUUUUAUUUAUUCCUGAUUUUAGCCUUUUUUAAAAGAGAAGUGCUGUAUUUUGAGCGGUAUGAGAUUAUGAUGUGUGUGGGUUAUGGUGUCUGUAAAUCCCAUAUCUUCUGCAGGGUCAUCUGUGAGAUUGACAGGGUCAUCUGAGAGAUUGACAGGGCCACAGAGGGUUCAGGGGUCAUCUAGGGUUUGGCCACACCUCCUUGUACUGAUAGUUCCCAGUAUGAUAUUGUGAUGUUUCAGACCAUACAGUGAACAUAAUAUUCAAUAAAUGAUGGAUACAUUUA